GCCAGGUCUCCUGCUUUGAAAAGCACAGCCUCCUGUUUUGAUGGACUAUCAGAGAACAGUUCUCUGAAGGUGUCCUCUGUUGGAGAGCUAUUUAUCCAGUCCGAGUCUGCUUUAGAGAGAAAGAACCAUUUAAAAAAGGAGAUCGGGAUCCCACCAACAGUGAGUAGUACCUGGUGAGCAGAAGGUGCAGGCAGAACUGGUCACUAGGGCUGGGCGAUAUCUGGUUUUCAACUUCAUGAUCAGAGCCGGAUUUAGGUUUGAUGAGGGCCUAAGCUACUGAAGGUAAUGGGGCACUUUAUUUGUGACAUUUUAGGGAGCAGGCUAGCAGGCGGGGCCCAUUACUUACAUCAUAGGAGCCUACACAACACAAAACACUCUUUCUGCAUGCAUGUUUUAUUUUAUUUGUUUUAGGGUUUUUUGAAAUGUACAUCCAGUGUUGUUUUUUUCCUUUAAAUUUUUUGGGAGCUCCCAGGAGAGUGGGGUCAUAAGCUAUAGCUUGUUUAGCUUAUACGUAAAACCGGCACUGUUCAUGACAUAUCACCAGCUAAACAUCCUGAUAUACUGAUAUAUCACCAUGUCUGAAAUAAGGAUGGAGCUAUGCAGAUGGAGCUAUGGAUUGGCUGGCUUCAUUGUGAUUUUUGCAUAGCACACACACAAUCAGAGAGAGAGAGAGAGAGAAGGAAACAGAGACAGAUUGAUUCGCAAUAUAUUUCCAGGUCAAAAAUUAUUAAAUUAAUAUCAUGAUAUGGACUUGAAACUGGUUUUGGGUGAUAUAUCGCCCAGCACUCACACACCUCAUGAUUUGUGAUAUACAGUGGUACCUCGGGUUACAUACACUUCAGGUUACAUACGCUUCAGGUUACAGACUCCGCAAACCCAGAAAUAGUACCUUGGGUUAAGAACUUUGCUUCAGGGUGAGAACAGAAAUCGUGCUCUGGCAGCGCGGCAGCAGCAGGAGGCCCCAUUAGCUAAAGUGGUGCUUCAGGUUAAGAACAGUUUCAGGUUAAGAACGGACCUCCGGAACGAAUUAAGUACUUAACCCGAGGUACCACUGUAUUGCCAGGUCAAAAUCUAUGAAACCAAUAUCACAAUAUGGACUUCAAACCUGUUUUACUGGUCGCUUGGUGUUUUCUUCACUAUGCUUUGCAUUUAUUUUAAAAUUAUUAUACUUAUUUUAAAAUGUGUGUCCUUCCAUAUAAAUCACCACAUGCAAAUUGACCUCUUUUUUCGGCAAUGUACGCCCUCCUUUUUUUGGCCACAGCCUCUACCUCUUGCUCCUCCUCCUUGCCUGUCCCACUCUGUAGCCAUGAAGUCAGAGAACUGACUCCAUCUCAUGGUCUUAAAUAAAUGGUUCCCAUUUGCGGUUUGCCAUGAUUGGCAUUUGCAUCUAAUAAAUCAAAAAAAUUAUUUCAUUAGAUUAAAUGACAAAAAAUACUGGCCUCCUGCAAUUUGUAUAAUUUAACAUGCUUGCUGCCAAUUUGCUGAAUGUAACCAAUUAAUUAAGCCUGACCGUUCAGCCUGAUCUUGAUGUUUCAAGGUAGGUUAGUACACAGAGAAGGAGGUAUAAAAAACUUCUGGGAGGUAAGGAGUGUUGUAAGUCAGUGGGAAACCUAAAUGUGAGUAGCCAGGGAUGCUUAAAAUUGUUUCAUUUAUUACAUAACUGUAAUGAAGUUUAAUUAAAUUACCAAUACAGUCUGGAUCUUGGAAGCCAGGAGCAGGUUUAUUUCUUAUCAAACAGCUGGAUCAAAAACAACUUGCAUGAUUCCAUCCCACCCACCAUCCAUCUUCUGUCUUAUCAUACUUUAAGUAAGAGGGCCAUGCCUUGCUUUUCUUUUAAUGAAAACUGAAAAUGGAGGGAGGUGGAAGAUCAUUGCAAGUGUGAGGCCAGCCCACAUUCCUCCAUGCAUGUGUGGAAUUUCACGGUUGGGUUAAAACUUUCCUACUCAAGGGAAAAGGGACACGGGUGGCACUGUGGGUUAAACCACAGAGCCUAGGACUUGCCGAUCAGAAGGUCGGUGGUUCAAAUCCCCGCAAUGGGGUGAGCUCCCGUUGCUCGGUCCCUGCUCCUGCCAACCUAGCAGUUCGAAAGCACAUCAAAGUGCAAGUAGAUAAAUAGGUACCGCUCUGGUGGGAAGGUAAACAGCGUUUCUGUGCGUUGCUCUGGUUCGUCAGAAGCGAUUUAGUCAUGCUGGCCACAUGACCUGGAAGCUGUACGCCGGCUCCCUCGGCCAAUAAAGCAAGAUGAGCACCACAACCCCAGAGUCUGUCACGACUGGACCUAAAAAUCAGGGGUCCCUUUACCUUUACCUUUACCCAAGGGAAGUUUAGCUCGAAUGAUGGGGAGAUUUGGGAUGAAACUGCUUUUGUCUUUGGCCUUUCAGGUGGGAAACCUUUGAAUUUUGGUGGGUACUAAAAUGAGGUGCUCUCUGUGGGAAUGUUUAGGGAGGCAGGAGAGAAUAUAUUGUUUAAUUAUAUCCUUUCCAACUGCGUUAGCAAGUUCUGUAAUUUAGCAGAGUAACAUUCUCCUUUUUAAACUUACACAGCAGAUAGGUUUGCCAGGCUUGUUUAAGCCUCUAAAGUAAGUUUCCUGGUAAUUCCCCUUUCAUUCCCUCCUAAAAAGAAUAGACGCAACACAGUCUUGUAUAAAAGUAUAAAAUAGUUUACUCACUCAUUCUGUUCACAGAUGGAUCCCAGAAGGCAGACUUAAGUUACAAAAUAUAUACACCUGUAAUCUAUCCCAUAAGGAGAUAGUUCCUUUGUCCUCUCUUGGCUGGAAGCAUUGCGGGCUGAUGCUUCUUCUACGAAAGCAAAAUGGAGAAGAGAGAGAUGUGGUGACCAGUCCUGUGCUUUUGUUACCUGCACAGGUGAGGUCACGCCCACCUCUGGUCACAUGUAGAGGAAGUUUGUCCCAGCACAGGAGGAAACAGAAAGUUUAUCUACUGGCUGGACAAACAUCCCUCUUCUUGUCUAAACAUGUCCAUUCCAGGAAUGUUGUAUUUGACUGCUCUGUGUUUCAUACCCUACACUCUCUACCCUUGUUUAGGUUAAUAACUGUCUCUUCAUCAAACUUAGAGGUAGGGAACUUCUUUCAUCUGAGGGCCACAUUCCAUUCUGAGCAAUGUUCUGGGGGCCACUGGGCAGUGGUGAGUAAAGCCAGAAGGAAAAUAGGAUGGAGCCAUGAACAUAAAUUUGAUCAUGUAGCACCAAUCCUGGCACAACUGCACUGACUGCCAAUUAGUUUCCAGGCCCAAUUCAAAGUGCUGGUGUUGACCUAUGAAGCCUUACAUGGCUCAGGACCACAAUACCUCAAGGAUUGCCUCUCCCCAUAUGAACUAACCCAGACUCUGCACUUGUUAUCUGAGGGCUUUUUCUAUGUCCCCCCAUCCCAGAGAGGUUCGGAGGGUGGCAACAAGAGAAAUGGCCUUUUCUGUGGUGGCUCCCUGAUUGUGGAAUGUUCUCCCCAGAGAGGCUCAUCUGGUGCUAUCACUACAUAUCUUUAGGCACCAGGCAAAAACAUUCGUCUUUACCCUAUGGCUGUUUAAAUAAUCUACGACCUGUGAAAGUGUGGGGGAGAGGACAACUAUUAUGAUGACUACAGCGGUACUUCGGUUUUCAAACGUAAUGCGUUCCGGAAGACCCUUCCAAAAUGUUUGAAAACCGAAGCAUUUACUUCCAGAAGCAUUUACUAUGGAAAACUCAAUACAAAAGCCGUAUGGCACUUUCAACUUCUGAAAAGUGUUCGAAAACCGAAGCGGUUACUUCAGGGUUUUUGGCAUUUGAAAACCGAAACAUUUGACUUCCGAGUCAUUCAAAAACCGAGGUAUCACUGUAUAGUGGUACCUUGGGUUAAGAACUUAAUUCGUUCUGGAGGUCUGUUCUUAACCUGAAACUGUUCUUAACCUGAAGCACCACUUUAGCUAAUGGGGCCUCCUGCUGCCAACACGCUGCCGGAGCACGAUUUCUGUUCUCAUCCUGAAGCAAAGUUCUUAACCCGAGGUAAUAUUUCUGGGUUAGUGGGGUCUGUAACCUGAAGUGUAUGUAACUGUAGCAUAUGUAACCCGAGGUACCACUGUAUUUAAUUAUUAGGCUGUCAGUCAGUCAGCUUUUUAUUAAGUUUUCACUGUGUUUUUAUCAAUGAUGUUCUGUAAUGUGUUUUUAAUGUUGUACACUGCCUUGGGAUCUUUUGAUAAAGGGUGGUAUAUAAAUUGAAAUAACAGAAAUAGAAAUAUGGUAGGCUAGUUUCUACCCACACUCACACACCCUUCUCCAUCCUCCAUCUAGAUGAGGAAGAGGCAUGAUCAGAGCUCCAGGACCAUAGCUGUCAACUUUCAGAUUUGAAAAUAAGAGAUCAGCAGCCUCACCUGUCCCAGGGACAGUCUACGGGAUAUUUAACAAUCCGGGAUAGCAGCAAGAAGCAGCAGGAAAUGGUGCUGGAAUAAGGGAAGGUUGACAGCUAUGUCCAGGACACAAUCCAGAUAAGCAAAAACACAUGGCAAGAGUGCAAAUCAGGGUUGGUGGGGGGUGUGGCUAGAGGAGAAGGGGUGUGGCUCAGGAGUGGAUGUGGUCUGGGGAGAGUCCUGAGGGCCAGACUAAGAGGUAAAGUUCCUAACCAAAGCAUUACCUAGGUGGGUUGGUGCCAGCACCCAAUUAUGUGAGGCAAGGGAUGGAGAACACACAUAGUGAUUAUGUCACAUCAAAUGUUGCCUUAUACAGAACCACACCAGGGGUAGGCAACCUAAGGCCCUGGGGCCAGAUGCAGCCCAAUCGCCUUCUCAAUCCGGCCCACAGACGGUCCAGGAAUCAGCAUGUUUUUACAUGAGUAGAAUGUGUCCUUUUAUUUAAAAUGCAUUUCUGGCUUAUUUGUGGGGCAUAGGAAUUCUUUCAUUUCCCCCCCCAAAAUAUAUUCUGGCCCACCACAUGGUCUGAGGGACAGUGGACUGGCCAUCAGCUGAAAAAGGUUGCUGACCCCUGAACCACACUUUACCUGAGAGAACAAAUCUGGGAGCAGCGGUGGCUCCAUGUUUGUUGGUAACAUCUUUAGUUAUGUCCUUAGAUGUCAGAGUUAUUUACCAUAGCUGUCAACUUUUCCCUUUUCUUGUGAGGAAUCCUAUUCAGAAUAAGGGAGUUUCCCUUAAAAAAGGGGAAACGUUGACAGCUAUGUUAUUUUCUAGUAUUUGAUUUAUUUUCAAAAAAUUCAGGUCGCCUUUGCCAAAGCAGCACACAAUAUUAAAACCAUUCAAAUAACAGGCCGUAAAAUUAGAAAAACAUAAUCUAAAACACAUUCGUAUGCUGAAAAGGAAUUAAAGCAAUAGCACAUAACACAGUAGCACCAUAAAACAACAUACAUGUAAAACAAGAAGCAGAUUUAUUUAUUUUUAAACCCAGCAGCAGUAAAUCACCAGCGUAAAUACAACUUGAAAGUAGUUUGGAACGAAGAGUUUACAGAGCUUAUUUAAAAACCAGGAGCAGGAGCAGGGGACCUGUUGGCCUCAAGGAAUUGGACUCCAACUCCCAUCACCCCCAACCAGACUGGCCAAUGGUCAGGGAUUAUGGGAGCUGUAGUCCAACAACAGCCAAAGGGCUUUAGGAUGGUGCUUGGCUGGCACAAUUUGAACAGGUGAAGCCUUUUAUAGUAUGGAAACACAACUAUGGGGAAAGUUUCACUUGUUAACAGUCUGUCUGUCAGACAUCUUAUUACUUGUGUGUGGCCCCUUGUUUACUUUUAAGCCCUAUACUUUGACAUAGCAGAUUGUACCAUUCCGAAUACUGGUUUUUCAUUUUUUAUUGAAAGGAUCAACUUUUUAUGAACUUAAAUGUUCAUUUGCAUGAACGUGAACUCAUAGUUUGUUUUGGUAAGGGAUGAACUCAAACUAGUUCCUUUUCAACGAACAUUUCACGCAGCGGAGGAAAGCCAAACUGAUAACAGGGACAUUUCAAGAGCACAAGGAACAACUGUAAUUCAGAAAUGGUUUCCAAUAUGUUUUGAUCCCUUUGUUGGGAUGAAUUGUUCAGUGCAUCUCCUUCUACUACUUAUCCAGGCCUGAGUCUCCAAACAUGCCUUUACAAACAUGUAAUUUAGGAGAAAUUUGCAGUAAAACGCUGGUGAAUUUUCAGAAGGACUUUUUAAAAAGAUUGCCAAGUGACAUGGAAACAUAGAGAGUGAAAAAUUUGGAAAAUAAGAAAUGGACAGCGGCUAGGUUCUACCGUACUUGCACUGUUGCAAGCAGCAUGCCUCUGAAUGUCAGUUGCCGGAAAUCGCAAGCAGAGAGAGCACUGUUGCAUCCCGAGUGCAGGUGGCGCUGCGGUCUAAACCACUGAGCCUCCUGGGCUUGCCAAUUGGAAGGUCAGCAGUUUGAAUCCCCACAACGGGGUGAGCUCCCGAUGCUCUGUCCCAGCUCCUGCCAACCUAGCAGUUUGAAAGCACACCAGUGCAAGUAGAUAAAGAGGUACCACUGUGGCGGGAAGGUAAACAGCAUUUCCAUGUGCUCUGGUUCCCGUCACACCAGAAGCGGUUUAGUCCUGCUGGUCACAUGACCCGGAAAGCCGCCUGUGGACAAACAGCGCCUCCCUCUGCCUGAAAGCAAGAUGAGCGGCACAACUCCAUAGUCACCUUUGACUGGACUUAACUGUCCAGGGGUCCUUUACCUUUACCUUUCCCACCCUCUGGUGAAGAUAUCAGCUUCCCCUUCCCUUCCAUCUCUGGACAAACAGCUUUCUUAAUAUUGGGAGCAAGGGCAGAAUGCCGCAGCUGCAGCAACAAAAAUAAAGAUGGAAGAACCUUCAUUAAUUGCAUAAGAGUGCCUGCAAGAAUCUCCAGAUGGGCUAGAUGACAUGAGAUCUGCCUGUGUGUUUCUUGCCCCACAGUAUAUAACACCACCACACUACAAACCCUUUGCCAGCACUAGGAAACCAUGUUCUCCAACCUCAGGGCAUUGGGAGUCAACCAUGGGAUUCGGCCCUUAUGCGAUCGUGUUUCUUUAACCAAAAAAAACCUUCCCAUAGCUCAUGCCAUCCGCUUCUCUGGUCUAUUUUACUCAAUGAGCCAAGUUUCGCCAAGUUCUGAAUGUGUACAUCUUUGUGAUAGGCCCCUGGAGCUCAUUUUACAUGAAGGCAACACAGGUUGAUGUAUUUUUAAAUGGCUUGAUUUUUAUCACCUUGCUUAAUGAUUUGUCACAUUAUUUAUUAGACGGUGGGAUAUCCGGAGGGAUCCAUCGCAUUAACGUAUAAAUAAUGUGGCAAAUAGUUCAAUAGAGCCAUAAAAAAGUGAUUUCAAAAUAAAUUGACCUAUGUUAAGCUACAUGUAAACUAAGGCUGUGAAUGAUAAUGCAUGCCAUGCCCUUAAGUCUGAAAAAUGGGGUCCAGGGAGGAAGGCAGCUAAAAAGUCCUCUAGAGAACAAAGGCUUUGGGCAAGCCACUAGUACUUACACGGGGUGUAGAGAACCCUUAGCCUUACAGAUGUUGAUCCAAUGGGCCAGGGAUGGUGGAAAUUGUAGAUCAGUAACAUCUGGAAGGCCAGAGGUUCCCAACGCCUGCACUAAAGCUUUCACUUCCUAACUGUGAUAGGGAAAUAGUAAUACUGGCCAACCUUGCAGGGCUGUUGUCAAGAUAAAAUCAUGAGAACAUAAGAGCAUCUGCGGAAUAACUAACAACAAGAUCCACCCUUCUCCUACCUCCUGCUUUUCCAAAAUCAGUUUGCUCAAGACUAUCCGGUGUUAUGUAGAUCAUCUCAUACCUGACCACCUGGGUUGGCCUUUUUUAACCUGACCAAGGUAUGGCAACCCAGCCAGUCACCACAUCAGUGAAGAAAAAAUAAGCAUUGUAUCAAGAUGCUUAAUGUAACCAAGUACCUAAUAAUAUUGUUUUAUUUCAGUUAUUAAGUGUGGAGCUGUGGAAACAGGUCCCUGACAGGUUGUUAUAGCCCUUUAUUGUUCUACAUAUCAAUUUCAGUUCCCAGUGCUGGGCUGGCACACAAAAUGCAUUAUGCCCUUAUUAGUCCAUUCGACCAGCUGCCACUGGGCCCUCCCUCGCCUUCCGCCUUCCAGACUCCACCAGCAGCUGAAGAAAGCUGCAGAAGAAGAAGCAGAGAAGCACUUUCUGAGGUUGCUGCUGUUCCUUUGACCAGUCUGUAUUCUACACUUCUGUUACCUGCCGUUCCAUUUUCUCCCUCGGAAAAGAGAGCCACUAAAGUGUAGUGGUGAGAGUGUCUGACUAGGAGCUGGGACACCAGGGUUCAAAUUUCCGCUGGUGGGGAAGGGGUGCUGGCAUCCGUGCCGAUUCCAGCAAGAUCUUGCCGAAAUUGCGCAAGAUACUGCAGAGCACUUUUAUAUGCCUGUUGUCUUUGUCCAUGGAGUUUUCUUGGCAGGGAUACUGGAGUGGCUUGCCAGUUCCUGCUCCAGGUGGAUCACAUUUGGUCAAAAUUCUCCACUAUGACCUGUCCGUCUUGGGUGGCCCUGCAUGGCAUAGCUCAUAGCUUCUCUGAGUUAUUCAAGCCCUUUCGCCACAACAAGGCAGUGAUCCAUGAUCUGCUUAAAAAGCAGAGACAUCACCUUGCCGACAAAGGUCCAUAUAGUUAAAGCUAUGGUUUUCUCAGUAGUGAUGUAUGGAAGUGAGAGCUGGACCAUAAAGAAGGCUGAUCGCCGAAGAAUUGAUGCUUUUGAAUUAUGGUGCUGGAGGAGACUCUUGAGAGUCCCAUGGACUGCAAGAAGAUCAAACUUAUCCAUUCUGAAGGAAAUCAGCCCUGAGUGCUCACUGGAAGGACAGAUCCUGAAGCUGAGGCUCCAAUACUUUGGCCGCCUCAUGAGAAGAGAAGACUCCCUAGAAAAGACCCUGAUGUUGGGAAAGAUGGAGGGCACAAGGAGAAGGGGACGACAGAGGACGAGAUGGUUGGACAGUGUUCUCGAAGCUACCAACAUGAGUUUGACCAAGCUGCGGGAGGCAGUGGAAGACAGGAGUGCCUGACGUGCUCUGGUCCAUGGGCUCACGAAGAGUCGGACACGACUAAAUGACUAAACAAUAACAACUGCAGAGCACAUGAGAUUUAAGCUUGAUCUUGCCUGGCACCACUUCUCCACCAGAGACGGAGACGGUGGGGUGCGGGUGGCACAGGCAGCAGCAGCGACAAAGCAGUGAAACGGGACAUGGUGAACCUUCCGCUUGACCAUGAAGCUCAGUGGGUGACCUUGGGCCAGUCAUUGCCUCUCAGCCUAACCUACCUCAUAGGGUUGUUGUAGGGAUUCCAUGAGGAAGGGGGAAGAACCAUGUGUACACCUUGUGUUCCUUGGAGAAAAAGGUAAGAUAUAAAUGCAAUAAAUAAGUAAUAGCUAAAGGUGGGCUAUACAUACAAAAAAACAAGUACAUGGAUGGAGGAGUAGACGCCCUUUCAGGUGUUCAUCCCUGCAGACUCCACCCCCAAUCUUUGCGCAUUAAGGCAGACGGUCUGAAGGGAAAUUCUUUGCACAAAUUCUUAGAGUCCUCUCUGCAGUCAGGUAUCCUGAGCACAGUUCCCACACACGGGAAGGAUUCUUAGCGCUCUCAGGUGAACAUUCUUUAAAUCUCCCUCAGUGCUUCGCAGAUGAGUAGGAAAUAAUUAUAAUAAGUCAGUAGUAAUAAUAAUAAUAAUAAUACUUAUACCCUGUCCAUCUAUCCCCAGCCACUCUGGGCGGCUUCCAACAGGAUAUUAAAAACACAAUAAAACACCAAACAUUAAAAACUUCCCUAAACAGGGCUGCCAUCAGAUGUCUUCUAAAAGUCAGAUACAGUGGUACCUCUGGAUGUGAACGGGAUCCGUUCUGGAGCCUUGUUCACAUCCUGAAGCGAACGCAAUCUGUGUCUGUGCGUGCACGGGUUGUGAUUCGCCGCUUCUGAGCAUGCGCAUGACGUCAUUUUUGAGCAUCUGCGCAUGCACGAGUGGCGAAACCCAGAAGUAACGCGUUCCGUUGCUUCCGGGUCGCCACAGAGCAUAACCUGGAAAUGCUCAAGCUGAAGCGACUUCAACCUGAGGUAUGACUGUAGUUGUUUAUUUCCUUGACAUCUGAUGGGAGGGCCUUCCACAGGGCGGGCGCCAUUACCGAAAAGGCCCUCUGCCUGGUUCCCUGUAACCUCACUUCUCGCAGUUAGGGAGGGAACCGCCAGAAGGCCCUCAGAGCUGGACCUCAGUGUCCGGGUUGAACAAUGGGGGUGGAGACACUCCUUCAGGUAUACUGGGCCGAGGCUGUUUAGGGCUUUAAAGGUCAGCACCAACACUUUGAAUUGUGCUCGGAAACAUACUGAGAGCCAAUGAAGGUCUUUCAGGACAGGUGUUAUAUGGUCUCGGCGGCCGCUCCCAGUCACCAGUCUAGCUGCCGCUUUCUGGAUUAAUUGUAGUUUCUGGGUCACCUUCAAAGGUAGCCCAACAUAGUGCGCAUUGCAAUAGUCCAAGUGGGAGAUAACUAGUGUCUGUAACCCGAGGUACCACUGUAUUUAUUCACACAUUGUGUGACAUUUUAUUCACACAUUUUUUUUCAUCACCUGAAUAGGGAUCGAUAGAUGGAUGGACCAUUAGAUUCAGAUUACAGUGGUACCUCGGAUUACAUAUGCUUCAGGUUACAUAUGCUUCAGGUUACAGACUCCGCUAACCCAGAAAUAUUACCUCAGGUUAAGAACUUUGCUUCAGGAUGAGAACAGAAAUCGUGCUCCGGCGGUGCGGCAGCAGCAGGAGGCCCCAUUAGGUAAAGUGGUGCUUCAGGUUAAGAACAGUUUCAGGUUAAGAACGGACCUCCGGAACGAAUUAAAUACUUAACCCAAGGUACCACUGUACUAUAGUAUGAUUCCUGCUGUUAUUUUAUUCCUUUUUUAAAAAAAGAAACUAAAAAAUGAAUGACAAUUUCUUCACAUCCGAAGUGCUUUCAUAAGAAAACAGGAGGGGGUACCCAGAGAGCUCUUUAAUACUGACCUUUCAUAGGAAGAAGCCAUCGAGGAAGAUUGAGAAAUGACUAUUCCAAAGAGGCUCUAGCCAUCGCAAUGGAUAUCAGCUCAUCCUGCGCCUCCUUCUGCUCAUGCCAGAUAUUUGAUCUCCUCCAAUGUUGCCAAAUGAUCUUAUCCUCCAGCUGUAAGAUGCAUCUUGCAUCUUUCUUUUUUUUUAGCUUUUACUAUGUGCUACAGCUUAAUUAUUUAACACCACCGGGUUAUGCAAGUUGAUGCAUAUGUUUCCAAGGGACAGAGUGGGAGUGAUUGAUUGGCUGACUGACAGAUGGAAAUAAACAGCAGAGAUGGGGAGGGCAGGGGGAGGAAAGAGGAUGCUCCAUUUUUAUUGCAAGUGUCAAAGGGACAAAGCAGAGAGGAAAGUUAAAAACCGGCUGCCUCGCAGACUCAAAGCCCUCUUGGGUACUCAUGCCAAUCCACUCACUCCUUCCGCUCACUUGUCAUUUGCUCAGAAAUCAUCCCUGCUCUGAAAAUGAUCUUACAAAGUCACGGGCCGUCAGAAGACCAAGAACACGUUGCAGGAACCUAUGUGGAUGUCUGUCCAAUUCUACAUUCAGGCUUUGCUUUGCUCAGGUUAAAUGUCGAAGACAGAAUAAACCUCUGCAGCUCAAAGCAGCGGGGUAUUUUUCUUAUGGAAGUUGUAGAAUCCCUAUUAUUGCAAGCAUGUAAAAAACACCAUUUGCGUAAUAGAUAAGCAGCUACCCUGAGGUCCACACGCACACGGGAUAAAUUAAUCCUGCCUCCCUUCAAAAGAAGGAACGAGAUAUCGUACUUCUCAACUGCCCCAAUUAAAUUGGGACAUCCCAUUUUGGGGUGUGAGCUCAAAGUGCAAUAUUGUGUGGGUCAUGUGACUUGUGCAGGUUUUUCGCAGUGACAUCUUGGAGCGUAUAAUAAUAAUAAUAAUAAUAAUAAUAAUAAUAAUAAAUAAAUAAAUUUUAUUUAUACCCCGCCCUUCCCGGCCAGAGCCGGGCUCGGGGCGGCUAACACCAGUAAAAUUACAGUAAAAACAUAAUAAGAAAAACAACAACAACAAUUUAAAAUACAGGUUAAAAUGCAAUUUAAAAUGCAGCCUCAUUUUAAAGUAGCCCAUAGAUCAAAGCCAUAAGGGGAGGGAAACAUAAGGGUCAGACUGAGUCCAAACCAAAGGCCAGGCGGAACAGCUCUGUCUUGCAGGCCCUGCGGAAAGAUGUCAAGUCCCGCAGGGCCCUAGUCUCUGUAUGAGACAUAUUUUGUGAUUCUUAUCCUCACCUCUACAAGUUAAGCAUAACGAUUGUUGGUUGCUCAACUGUCUCAAGCAUAGAUUGGACAAAUGCAAAACUAUCACCUUGUGUUGUUGAGCACCCUGUACAACAUGGGUCGGCAAACCAAGGACCGUGGGCCGGAUCAGGCCCAAUUGCCUUCUAGAUCCGGCCCGCGGAUGGUCCGGGAAUCGCCGCAUGGAUCGCCAGCGCAUGCAUUCUUUCCCUCUCCCUCACACAGUGGCGCUUUUCUCCUCAGGGAUGGAACAAUCUUGUCCCACACUGGGCAUUGUUGAUGGUGGGAGUCGGCUCACCCGCCUGUCCAUGUCAGCAGGGCGGCUCUGUGAAAAGGGUGUGGGACGCUGGCUUCUUGCUGCUGCUGCUUUUUCCUCCUGCUUCUCCUCCCUCUCCCUCAGUCUGCCCUUCCUUCCUUCUCUGCGCCCCUUCUCCACGCUGCUUCCUCACGUGCUUUCUUCAUUGCCGCCUGCCUGCCUCCUUCAUUCCUCCCAUGGCAUUCAGGUGGGUUGUUGCGGUGGCCAUGGCUGCCGCUUGCGGGUUGGCGGGCGGCUCUGUCUUCUUCUCCUGCAGCAGCAGAUGGUGGCUAAAAGCUCUGGCGACGCCCCGGUUCCCCUGCCUCCGUCUGCUGCUCCUCCGCCGGGGCUGCUGCUUCUGUCUUCACCGGCCAACGCAGCCUCCUACCCCACCACAGCGCCUGGCUGGCUGGAGAAGCCCAACUGCGGCUAUUGGGAUGACAACUGGGACAGGUAAAGCGAAGCAUCUUCAGGCCUCUUUGCGGGUGGGCGAAAAUUGUUCAUUAUUUUAAUUUUUUCCCCAAAAUAUAGUCUGGCCCCCCACAAGGUCCGAGGGACAGUGGACCGGCCCCCGGCUGAAAAAGUUUUCUGACCCCUGCUGUAAAACAUGGUAAGAAGAGGAAUGGUGCACAAUAAGGCAACACAAUACAGCCAACUGACUCUUUUGGAAGAAGUACUGUAUAGCGGGUCCUCUAGCACACGGGGAAACAGCAGUCUCUGGGCAUAGAGGAGUGGUGCAGUUUCGAUUGUGGUUUUGUAAAUAGAAAUCCAAAGGUAAUUCACACUGAGAAAACAACGGGCUCAAGCUUGAGAAUGCAGUCCAGCAGGACUAUUUAGCAAAUGUUUGAACGUGCAAACAAAAGAAGAACCUACUGGAUCAGGCCCAUCUACUGCAGCAUCCUGUUCUUUGGCAAUUCUUUGUACAGUGGUGCCUCGCAAGACGAAAUUAAUUCGUUCCGUGAGUUUUGUCGUCUUGCGAUUUUUUUCGUCUUGCGAAGCACGGUGUCGGGAAAGUUUUGGAAAAGCUUCAAAAAUCACCAAAGUCUUUAAAAACCUCAAAAAAGGCUACCACACUGUGUUCUAUGAGUUGCUCCUCGAAGUCAAGUCGCAACUGUAUUAACGGUGUUAAGAAAAAGGAAACAAACUUGCAAGACGUUUCCGUCUUGCGAAGCAAGCCCAUAGGGAAAAUCGUCUUGCGAAGCAGCUCAAAAAACAAAAAACCCUUUCGUCUAGCGAGUUUUUUGUCUUGCGAGGCAUUCGUCUUGCGAGGUACCACUGUACCAAAAGAUUAUUAUUAACCUAUUAUAUACCAGCCAGUGUGGUGCAGUGGUUAGAACCUGGCAGACCAGGGUUCAGGUCUAACCCGCUGAUUUAGACCAGAUCACUCCAUGCAUAAUCCAACCUAACCCAGACCUGCUCCAAGUCCUGAACAACACACUUACUCCUGACAGCUUCCGUUCAAAAGUAUCCGUGCUGGAGGGAAGAUAUGGGAGAAGUUAUCUGCCUGAAUAAUCUCUUUCUCUUCCCCGUCCAUGCCUCAGUGCCUGGUGCUAGGUGUCUGCAAGGUUCAGUCAAGCAAAUCGAGCUCAAUCACAGCAAACAGCAACCCACUGAAAAUUCAAAUUGACGCUUGCUCCAAUUGAGCACUAAAGAGUGGGUAUUCAUAGGGAAAUCUAUGGAGCAAGAAAACCCCACAUUCAGACACUCAGCUUUUAGGUGCAAACCUGUGCCUGGAAAGAGUGGGUGUGGAAAAGGUAAGUGUGGAUAUGUUUUUAGUUACAUUAGGAGUGGAUGUGCAAAAGGUAAGUGUGGAUAUGAUUUUAGUUACAUUAGGAGUGGAUGUGCAAAAGGUAAGUGUGGAUAUGUUUUAGUUACAUUAGGUCAUGUGGACUAGGGGGUUGUGCUGAUAGCUAUUCAGAAAAGAUGUGUGUUGAGGGAGGAAUUGAAGGAUAUAACAUAACUUUCAGUGUGUUGCAGCAGGAAACCAGGAUACCUGUCUUCCAGCUCCUGCUCCCAUGUGAGUCACAUGACCUGCAUGAGAGCACAGCACCCAAAAACACAUGUGUCUUUUGGGGGCCGCAAUCUCUCACGUUUUUGGACACCAUACUCUCACACAAUAAUAAUUUAUUGUUUAUAUCCUGCCCAUCUGGCUGGGUUCCGCCAGCCAUUCUGGGUGGCUUCCAACAAAAUAUUUAAAAUGCAAUAAAACAUCAAACAUUAAAAACUUCCCUAAACAGGGCUGCCUUCAGAUGUCUUGUAAAAGUCAGAUAGUUGUUUAUUUCCUUGACAUCUGAUGGGAGGGUGCCAUUACUGAGAAGGCCCUCUACCUGGUUUCCUGUAACCUCACUGCUCACAGUGAGGGAACCGCCAGAAGGCCCUCAGAGCUGGACCUCAGUGUCCAAGCUGAACGAUGGGGGUAGAGACACUCCUUCAGGUAUCCUGGGCCGAGGCUGUUUAGGGCUUUAAAGGUCAGCACCAACACUUUGAACUGUGCUCAGAAACAUACUGGGAGACAACAGUAUAGGCCCCCCAAAAUGGGAUGUCUCAAUUUAAUUGAGACAGUUGAGGGGUAUGUUAUAAGAGUUGUGGCCUUUUGCAGACAAUUUGGGAAACAGUGCCAGGUAUCAGGGGCAGGAGGAAGUGGUCUGAGAAUCCAGGAACAGAAGCCUAUGCCCUAGACCAGACAUGUCCAACUUUCAGAUCCAGUAUUAAAAAAACUGGCAGUGAUCUACCAAAGUUGUUGAGCUUUUUUAAGGGAGUCAAAGUUGUUAAGUUGUUGAGCUUUUUUGUGUGGGGGAAGGAAGGGUCCAGCGAUCUACCACGGACACCCCACGAUCUACCUGUUGGAUAUCCCUCUCUCUCUCUCUCUCUCUCUCUCACACACACACACACACACACACACACUCUUUAAAAAAGAACACUGCCCUAACCUCCCUUGAGAACAUUCUGAAUACGACACCAUCCAACAUGUUUCACGAUUUCUACCUUAGGAUAAAGUAACAAUUCGCCAACGACUCUGGGAUGUAGAAGAUAAUGGGAGAGGGUUUACCCAAGCGACAUAUUUGUCAAAAUUACAAAUACCUAAAUAUAGACAGUCGUUUACCCUUGCUAGAUUCAACGGACUGCCGUCCGCCUUGUUGCAGGGCAUAUACAUGGGCAAACCAUUGUUUAGUACAGUAUGUGAGUCUGGUCUGAGGCUGUAAUAAAUUCAAUUCAAAUUCUCUUCAACCCCAGCUAUCUCUUAUAACAGAACUCUGGACUUGGUCAUACCAACAUACUUUCAGUACUGCUUUCAAUAUAUUUGAAAUCAAAUGAACACACGUCUGUCAAUCUUUGAAAGUCUGUAGAAGUAUAAUAAGUCUAUAGUUGAAACAAAGUAAUAGAUGCUAUCCUGUGGGCUAAGCAGUAAAACUUUUUAGUGGCC